rnacentral:rRNA from 1 species
AACGAACGCUGGCGGCAUGCCUAACACAUGCAAGUCGAACGAGACCUUCGGGUCUAGUGGCGCACGGGUGCGUAACGCGUGGGAACCUGCCCUUAGGCUCGGAAUAAUUCCCCGAAAGGGGUGCUAAUACCGGAAAAUGUCUUCGGACCACAGAUUUAUCGCCUUUGGAUGGGCCCGCGUUGGUUUAGCUAGUUGGUAGGGUAAAAGCCUACCAAGGCGACGAUCCAUAGCUGGUCUGAGAGGAUGAUCAGCCACACUGGGACUGAGACACGGCCCAGACUCCUACGGGAGGCAGCAGUGGGGAAUAUUGGACUAUGGGCGAAAGCCUGAUCCAGCAAUGCCGCGUGAGUGAUGAAGGCCUUAGGGUUGUAAAGCUCUUUUACCCGGGAUGAUAAUGACAGUACCGGGAGAAUAAGCUCCGGCUAACUCCGUG